AAGUCGAGGGGCAGCGCGGGGCGGCAACGUCCUGGCGGCGACCGGCGGAAGGGUGCGUAACGCGUGAGCGACAUGCCCGUUGCCCGGGGACAACCGGUGGAAACGCCGACUAAUCCCCGAUGGGACGGAGGCCCUCAUGGGUCUCUGUUGAAAGUUACGGCGGCGACGGAUUGGCUCGCGUCCGAUUAGCUUGUUGGCGGGGUAACGGCCCACCAAGGCUACGAUCGGUAGGGGUUCUGAGAGGAAGGUCCCCCACAAUGGAACUGAGACACGGUCCAUACUCCUACGGGAGGCAGCAGUGAGGAAUAUUGGUCAAUGGGCGGAAGCCUGAACCAGCCAUGCCGCGUGCGGGAAGGAGGCCCUAUGGGCUGUGAACCGCUUUUGCCUGGGGGCAAUAAGGGCGUCGCGCACGUCCGAUGAGAGUACCAGGGGAAUAAGCAUCGGCUAACUCCGUGCCAGCAGCCGCGGUAAUACGGGGGAUGCGAGCGUUAUCCGGAUUCAUUGGGUUUAAAGGGUGCGUAGGCUGUGCGUCAAGUCAGGGGUGAAAUUCCGGGGCUCAACUCCGGGGCUGCCCUUGAUACUGUCGCGCUGGAGUGCGGAUGCCGCCGGAGGAAUGAGUGGUGUAGCGGUGAAAUGCUUAGAUAUCACUCAGAACACCGAUUGCGAAGGCAUCUGGCGAAUCCGUAACUGACGCUGAGGCACGAAAGCGUGGGGAUAGAACAGGAUUAGAUACCCUGGUAUUCCACGCCGUAAACGAUGAUGGCUAACCGCCGGCGACAUACUGUCGGUGGCCAAGCGAAAGCGAUAAGCCAUCCACCUGGGGAGUGCGUCGG
rnacentral:rRNA from 1 species